GCAUAUCAAUAUGCUAGCGUCAACUUCAGUAGUAUUGUAAUGAAACAGCAGGGAGCAGGUCUCGAACCCUCGACAUUCGAGCCCGAUGCCCGGCGUGCCAUCGACUGUGCCGCAAAAGCAUGCUCGUGCGGCAGGGUCGAUUUCCCUGUUAUAAACCCAUUGCCGUUACACUACUCCCUCCUUUCAAAGAGCGCGUCCUCGCGCUAGCUUGCGACUCUACGUCUUACAGGAACGCGCUCACCGGUCAAGCACACGCACUGUCGUCGAUGCGAGGUCCGAUCACUUCUGACACCAGUGUAAUGAAACCAGCAGGGAGCAGGCCUAGAAUCCUCGACCUUCAAGCCGGAGGUCCGGCGCGCUAUCGACUGUGCCGCAAAAGCAUGCUCGUGCGGCAGGGUCGAUUUCCGCGCUUAUAAACCCAGGGUCGUUACAGUAUGUUAGUAACCACAACAGGUAGCCCUACCCAGCAUUAGGAAGAUGAUGCAUUGACACCCUGGAAAGAUAAGUAUGCAGAAGCAAUCCGUUUAUCAGGCAAAGAGACAGAUUGAGGCCUUCAAUCAAACGGAGGACUGAGAAAUAUGCAUGCACCAGCCUUAUACACCUGAGUCAGAAAGAAGUGACAACUAGUAGAAAAGUGGCUCUUGAUGAUGAAGUCCCCAGUCCAGAUUGAAGAUCCGAGUUUUAAUCCAUUGUAUUGAGGCUUGACUGGAGGAAAUCAUUUUUGUGGCUCUCUAGAAACACACAUUUUGGAGGUAGGCUUAAUAAGUCCCAGUAUGCUAGCUACAUUGUUUGUUCAUAUAGCAUUUAUACAAGGCAGAUUGUUUCCUUUCUGAAAAAUAGGUAUAAUGCCAGUUUCAGUGAGAAGCGUAGCAACAUCCCACUGGGCAAAAACUGGUUGUAUCAACAUUGUUUCCACGUCAUUUCGACCCCCAAAAAAUCUAUGUGAUGACUUUGAAUCAACGUGGAAAACUGAUUGGAUUUGCAAAAACUCAUCAAGUAAGGGAAUUUCACUUUUUAAUUUUUUUUUUAUAACCCAACUUUGAACCUAAAUCCAAUGACAUGGUAAAUGUUUGUUUUUUUUGGGGGGUGGGGAUUUCACAUUGAAUAAACAUUUUGUUUAUAACUCAUGCAAAUGUGAAUCAAAACUAGAUGUUGAACUGACGACUGUACCCGGUGGGAUGCAGCCUAACCCCAUUGUUCUUAUCCUGCCCAUUAGCUGCUGAGUCAAAUUAAAAAAAAAAUGUUUUCAGUAGGCCUAUCUUAAUGUUUUGUGUUUUCUGAUUGUUUCAGUGCAUGCAUUAAGCAAGCGUUCGACAGGAUUUCUACAGGGCUGUCAGGUAGGCUAGCGGUUAAGAGCAUUGGGCCAGUAACCAAAAUGUCGCUGGUUCAAAUCCCGAGCUGAGUAAAUGAAAUAUGUGAGCAAUGUGCUUAACCCUAAUGGUUCCUGUAAAUUGAUCUGGAUUAGCGCAUCUGCUAAAUGACAAAAAUGUAAAGUUCAGUCAGAGGCUAUACUUCUUCCAUUGGUUGAAUGCUCAUGUAAAUUCUGAAGUUGCCCCUUGAGAACUCCUGGAUAUUUCUCUCAUGUAAAUGUUGUAGUUUUUGCUCUUUUCUUCAUUAACACUGCAUUAUGUUUUUAUUGUGAGAUAGUUAAGAACGUUGUAUUGGAUUUUAUGUGUUUUAUGUGUUAAGACAUUGAAUACAUUUUGUUUAGUAUGUUUAGUUCUCUGUGAGAAGCAAGUACAUUUAAAGUUAUUUGUGAUUUGGUUGAUGUCGAUAAAACAUUUUGAUGUUGUUUAAUACACUACAUUUGCAGCAAACAGUAGAAUGUUCGCCACAAGUUUCUCAGAGUAGUUUGCCAGAACAUCACAAGUUGGCCCAAAUGUGCGCA
ensembl:lncRNA